CCCUCAGUGCCCACCUCCUUUGUCUUUUCUGUCCUAAAACCUUGCGUGCCAACCUUGCACUGGCACCAGCACCAACCAAAGCACCGACACCAAAACCAACAUCUAGAGUGCCAACCUUGCAACCAUAUCACCAUCAUCACCAAUCAAACGGCCACCAACCACCCGCGACCCAAACCACCAUCACCUACCAAACCACCAACGCACCAUCGGCACAACAACCUCAUUUUUUACAUAACAAAUUCAAAACAAAAAUAAGCAAAAUGUCUUCAACUUUACACACAAAUAAAUCAUCCAAGCAAUCAACACCAAGCAUGAACUCUCAUGUUCGACUUCAACCAACAAAUCACACACUAUUGACUAAACAACAUAAAAUCAUAUAUCCAAGCGCGCAAUGUUUGGAAAGCAACAAUGUUAACAUAGAAUGAAUCAAAUAAGGAAUGGAAAUUAAAUGAAACCUCUAACUCCAAAUGACAGCAAGGGUUAGGCAACAACUUCCGAGAGCAGCGUCGAUUGAGACCAGCGAGAGACAAGUUGAGAGCAUUGUGGGCUUACCUGUUGGUGGCGUGGGCUGACAGCGGAGGCACAGUGGAGGCACGACGGUCGCAGGGGAAAGACUGAGGCACGGGAUUGUGUUGUGGAGAGGAAUAUGGCAAAGUGAGUGACAAAGGGCUAGGGUUGAGGUCUUUUAAUUGGGGAUAAUUGAAAUUUCCAACAGAUCUGAUUCAAAAUUUUUCGAGGGAAUUUUAUCUGUGGGAAUUAGUCCGUGAGAAAUAUCUUCUUUUUUUUUUGUAGUGCAAUAUAUCUUUUUACACCAACUUUUAAAUUACACAUGAACACACAUU
rnacentral:lncRNA from 1 species